rnacentral:rRNA from 1 species
GAUGAACGCUAGCGGCAGGCCUAAUACAUGCAAGUCGAACGAGAUUGAGGAGCUUGCUCCUCAUGAAAGUGGCGCACGGGUGCGUAACGCGUAUGCAAUCUACCUUAAUCAGGGGGAUAGCCCGGAGAAAUCCGGAUUAAUACCGCAUAACGUUAUUUUAUGGCAUCAUAGAAUAACCAAACAUUUAUGGGAUUAAGAUGAGCAUGCGUGACAUUAGUUAGUUGGUGAGGUAACGGCUCACCAAGACUACGAUGUCUAGGGGAUCUGAGAGGAUGACCCCCCACACUGGUACUGAGACACGGACCAGACUCCUACGGGAGGCAGCAGUAAGGAAUAUUGGUCAAUGGGCGCAAGCCUGAACCAGCCAUGCCGCGUGCAGGAAGACGGCCCUAUGGGUUGUAAACUGCUUUUAUUCGGGAAUAAACCUCUUUACGUGUAAGGAGCUGAAUGUACCGAAGGAAUAAGGAUCGGCUAACUCCGUGCCAGCA